rnacentral:lncRNA from 1 species
UAAAAGGGGAAAAAUACAAAAUCAACAUGACAUAAAAUCAUUAACACCCAAAAACAUCAAUCACGGUCUGCUGGAUCCUGAUCGAACCACCAUCUCCCGAAACAUCAAAGCUAGGAAGCACUUGACAACCUACAAAAGAAAUUAAAGUGAACAAUCCCCAACGGGAUGAGCGACUAGGACAAGGUCCCACUACCAGAGAUAGGGCGACCUAGAACGCCUCCUAUACAUAAUAAUAUUGGGCUCCAACAUACGACAUAGGUCACUUCUGACUCAUAAAAGGUACAUUGCCUAGCUUAACCACCCAAAGAUAUUAUAUCAAAUAUGGAGGGCCAUGUUACAAGUGACAAACACAUGAAUGACUGAUUCCUCAAUCAAUUCACAAAAGGAGGAUGAGGAAGCAUUCAGAUCCAUGAUCACCCUUAUUUUAAAAAGAUUAUCACGGGUAAUGAUCCUAUAACGGAUAAGCUUCCAAGAGAAUGCGAUCACCUUGACAUUUCCCUACAUAUGGUAUUUUGUGUUGUUAAAUACUAACAUGGUAACUUGUAUUAUGCAUACAUAUAUGUAAAAGGAAAUAUCUUCUUAAACACAGUUGAACACGCUAGGAAGGGACAAUGACAAAGAUCACACAUCUUAUCUGCAAACAUUAUGUUUACCACGCUCCUCGGAGACCAUCACUGUAAUUUAUAAAGAGAAAAUUUCAUUCGACUGAAAGGAUUUCAGAACAUAAUAAUUUACCAAGUGACAAGGUAGCAUAGAGAUGAUCAAUUGGAAGACGAACAUAGGAUUUGAAGUAAUAAGAAAGUCAUGAAUCCAACUAUUCACAAGUAACUUUGUUAUUUUUAGAAAAACACAUUAAUGAUUCUAUUUUAUCCAAAAGGUGGGAGAAAAUAUCUUUAUUCAUACAACUUUUAAAAUGGAUAUAUAAUGGACUUCACUUAUAUAUACCAUUAAAAUGGAAAUGUCAUUGACAUUGACCAAUCCAAUUAUAAUAAAUACAUCAAUUCAAUUAUUUUUUUUUUCUCUCUCUUUCACAUAUUUUUAUGUUCAAAAAAUUUAUAUUAAGUGUAGCACGGUGUUACAUUAAAUGGACCAAUGUCAUCUGAUAUUAUGUCACACAAUUGACAUCCUAUAAUACUCUAACUAUUUCAUUUUGAACUGCAACAAUAAUAAUAUUAAUAAUCCUUUAGGUGUUUUCCCUUUAAAUAAACACUAUAGUGUAGACACAUUGGAACCAAAAGAUAUAAAAAUAAAUACGGAGUAACCACUUUCAUAUUAUUUUUUUGUUUUGUCUUUCAUAGUUGCCACAAUGUUUACCAACAGGCAAUAACAACAUUAUCUAUUGCGGUGGUCUCCCCCCACAGAGAUAAGGUUGUCAUAAUCACAAGUCUAUCCCAGUCCUCAUCCAACUUCAAUUAAAAAUGUUGUAAGCAUGCACAAGAUCAGGCAUUGUCUCUAGCUAGUCGUAGAGGCCGUUGCAUCGUGCAAGAGGCAGUAGAUGGUAUCGUUUAAAUCUCCAUAAUAGUAUACAAAUAAUUUCUACUGACGAUUUAUGGGCAUAAAACUACUUUAGAAAUAGAAAACAAGGUUACAACACAACAGCGCACACUACUUUCAUAAUCUUUGACACAGGUCGAAUAUCAGCUAUCUCCCUGUAACUAUUAUGAACUUAUAUCUAGAUUAUAAGCAAAUAUUGUCUAAUCCCUACAACUUUACCAAAAUAUAUAAGUUUCCAGUACAAUGCAACCAUAAAUUGUCCGCAUAAACAAAAAAUACAACUAUAAACUGAUUAAGAAUAUAUAAUCUCAACACUUGUGUACUCCAAUGCAAAGUCAAUUUCGGGAAAUGCUACACUAAUCAAUUUGUCAUGCAUCUAACAAUGACAGAAUGUCUUAUUCAAUAUAUAAAAUGCUUUCUACUCAUUGUUUUUGUCUCUAUCUCCUUCAAACAUAAUAUCUGUUAUGUUAAAGAUCUUGGUAUUAAACAGGAGGAAAGAGUGAAGGAUUGCUUGAUAACAACAAUACAGUAAUUAACGAGCGAUCUAACUCUCAAGAUCGUACGAUCUUGCGAUUCAACAAGCCACCACCGAUCUGGAGCGGGUUGAAGAUCGGAGAUCGCGACGGAUUGGGCGUCGCGCCGAGGAAAAACGGAAACUCGGCGAAUCGUUUUUUUUUUUUUUCGAUUCAAAGAAGGGGUUUGGGCGGUUCAGAUGACGUUGACCUGAUCCGAUUUGGUUGCGACCCGGGUUGGUUAUUGCGAUUUCAACCCGUAUCGCUUUGAAAGGUCAUAAUCUAUCAUUAAUUUCGUUUUUUUGGGACUUGCUGGUGUUUAAUUGAAUCAUUAGGUUAGGAAAUUGGGAUUUUUUUCUCAUCUUCUCUGAAAUUGUAAUUCAUUCAAUGAAUCAAUUCCCUCUCAUAUUUUAUUUAUUCUAUAAAAACAAGUCCAUUGUGCAAUUCCUUCUCAAUCUCACUGUGCAAUUCCAAAAAGACAGUACUUCAAUUCCCUCACAUCUUUCACGUUUUUAGACGAUGUUUAUUAUGAUGUUUCAGAUGAUAUUAUAGAUUUUUGUAGUUACUUUUAUAAUUUUGUCUAUUAUGGAAGAUCUUACAAUCCUUGUUACUAUCCUACAAUCUACGCUUUUUCUAUAUCCCAAUGAUCUUUAGUCGGAUCCUGAUUUCGACAACCAUGCUCCCAUGCCCAAUCAGAAAAUAAUCAAUCUUCUUUAAUAUGUCCUUUGCUUCUUUAAUAUGUCCUUUAUAUAAAAAAAGAGCAAGGACUUCAUGUCAAAAUUUUACAGGGGGAUGCAUUCAUCAAGAACACAAGUUAAAACACCAAAUUUCAUUGGCUUUUUGGAUUGGUAUAUCUGAGUUUACCUACUACCAUAAACACUUAUGAGACAAUUUAAGAGAGCUUAUGGAAAUAUCUUAUAACAUGUCUAUAAGUUGUUCUCCGCUUAUUUUCAUAAUCUAUGAAGGAUAAAUAAAAACAAACGUAUAUCAAAAUAGCUAGCCUAUAUUUUAUCUUUUGUUUUGUUAUGGAAAUAGCUUAUUGCCAUACACAAACAGGACCUCUAACCAAUUAGAGAACGCAAUUGAUUAGGCAGAUUGUAAUCAUGAUCCAAACAAAUUGAACCAAGCAAUUGAGAGCAAACAAUAAAACUACCAAAAUCUAAGGAUCAAGGACUGUGCAAAAAUGAUGAAAUGAAACUCGGGUGAAGACAAUUCCAUUAAAAACUACUCUGAGAAUCAUAAGAUUACAAAAGCACAAUCCCCCACAAAUUAGCUUCCUCCAAAAUGGGAAACAUGUAAAAAAAAAUAACCUUCGUGCAAUUCAAGCACAAGGGUACUAACUACUAAUACUAUUCUACUAUACAUUCAUAGAUUAAAUUCAUUCAACAUUAAUAUUACAUAGCCUGAGAAAAAGCUAAAAAAAAAAACUCACAAGCUAUUUAUUAUUACAAAAGGGUGAAACCAUUGUUGUUAUUAGAGCAAUUCCAAAAUCGUGAAGAACCUUCUUCAUCUUGUUCUACAACCGAACCUUGAGAAGUUUGAGGGUUAGACCGAACCGGUGUACGGCAAGUAGGACACGUGGCAACCUUAAGAAGCCACGUAUCAAUACAUCUCCGAUGAAAAACAUGACCACAAGCAGCGAGAUUUCGACACCAUUGACCAUUACGAAAACCAUCCAAACAAACAGCACAACGAGAAUCGGGUUCGGAAACGGAUCCUUUGGUUAUCCGGAAGUUGGGGAGGUUGUUGAUUUCGCGAGGGAGGAAAGCGUCGGUGAGAGAUUGAAGACGUCGAGUUGGAGUAGGACGGAAACGGAGACGGUGGAGAGCACCGGCUAAGAGGAAGAGGUUGAGGAGGAGAAAGGCGGCGAAACCGAGGAAGAGGAAGAAGAGGGAUGUGAGAAGAAGCAUGAUGAUGGGUUUGAGGAAUAGGGAGAGGAGAUUAGGGUUUGGUUUUGGUUGUUCAGGAUCGCCAUGGUGAUGAUGAGGAGGCAUGGUCGUGGUUGAAAUUGAAGGUUUGAAAAAAUGGUGGCAAUAAUAACAGAAGCUUGGAAUAGGAAUUAAACAAAUAGGAAGGAAUAUAGAAGAAAUGAAGGAAGGGUCGGGAUACGCGUAGAUGUAGUUACAAAUCUAGCGGCGGGUACGGUCCACGGGUUUAUAAUAAAUCUAUGUUUGUUUGUUUGGGUUGGGGGUAUUGUUUAUAUUUAUCGUCGUUAUCUUUCUUUUUAUCUUCAAACCAAAUUAAUUCACGGAUUCCAUUUCAUUCCAAAGGGGCAUAUGCUGCUAUAGAUUCCCCUCCGUUAGAGAGUAAUUGAUGCCUCAUGAGUAAUGAAUGGGUGAGAUCAAAUCUCUGUAAAGUUGGUUAAACUACGGAUUUGAAUUUGGCGUUAUAGAAAAGCACACUGUUCCACACUGGAAUGAAUCACAGUCGUUCAAAUCACAUUGAAUGGCUCAGAUUGCACACAAAUUUAACGCAGUUAAAUAAUUUCAGUAAUUGAUUUAAAUCGAACGGUCCUCAUCUGUUACAGCGUCCUACUGUAAUAGCAGGAAAUCCAAACACUGCAUCAAUUGGGGUUGUUGGAUCGCUUUUAUAUUGUCGAGAUCAUCUAAUGUGUGAAGUAGUAGUUAUAGAGAGAGUAUUUGAUCUCGCAUCUAUUAAACAUUAAAAAUUGAGAUGUAAUGAUAGAGAUUUAUUGAUAGAUAAUGAUAUAAACUUAUUAAUUAUUAGUGAAUUCAUUUAAUGAUUUUUUUUCUAGUGAUGGGGUUACAGGAUAAAGUGCUUAUUUAGUACUAUUAUCGAAAAGUAAUAAAUGAAUGAUGUAUAUAUAUAUAUGAGACCCAAUUAAGUAAGGACUUUCAUGCAAUCCUUCGUCAAUGNCUGGAAACACCACUUCCCGUUCGACUUGCAUGUGUAAAGCAUGCCGCCAGCGUUCAUCCUGAGCCAGGAUCAAACUCUCCAUGAGAUUCCUAGUUACAUUACUUAUAGCUUCCUUGUUUGUAGACAAAGCUGAUUCGGAAAUUCAUUUCAAUGAAUAACUUGUAUUCAAGGGCUUAAUAUUCGCCGGGAGAUCCCUCCCAUAAAUAUUAUAUGGUCCUAUAUCACCUUAUGUCAACCCCAUAUCCAAUAUCCAUAAUGGUUAUUUGAUAUUUGGACUGGAAGCCAAGUGAACAUAUUUUUCCACUGUUUAGUCAAAUUCUUGUGUGCGGCGGAGUCCACUUGACCACCAUUGUAGAUCUCAUCCUCCCGCAACUGCAACCCAGAAAAUUUUGAGUGAUUCAGUGUUUUUUUUUAUGCAAUGUUUGAAUGUCAGCUAAUAUUUCAAUAGAAAAUCGAUUGAAUGCUUUGAUUUAUACAAUUAAUAAUUGAAGAUUUGAACAUAGGUAGUUGUGUAAGCUUUUCUCCAUGCAGGAUUAAAUAUUGAGACUUGUAUAUGGCAGUGGCGGUCCGUUUGCAGAGAUGGCUUGGCUUUUGAGAUGCCAAUAAUAAAAAAUAAAAAUAAAAAAGUAAUAAAAACAUUUCAUUCUUUAAAUGCCGGUAAACAAGGUAAGUAGAUAAAUAAGUGAAAACGUGGCACCAUACACAUAAAAAGUGUUUGUUGGAGAGUGUUUGAGUGAGUGACCAUAGCAUUAUUCAUUAUGGCUCGCCUUCUUUUGAACCUAUAUACUCUUUAUUUUGAAAGACAACAUUCAGGGUUAACUUCGGAAACCUCUUAGUCCUUAGAAUUCCAUUUGUUUUAUAGAGGACAUGGAUACACGCAUUGAUUAUCUACGAGAUUUCUCUAUAAAUUAUCUUGUGUUGAAUUGUUGAGGGGCUAAUGAUUGUAAUUUUCAUUCUAUUAUCUACGACAACGAGAUAAUUUGUCGUGUUGAUUUUUUAGCGCAUCUUGAGACAAGUUAUUAAGAAAAUUUGUAUGCAAACUGUUACAUUGGAUGUUGUUCACAUUUUUGCUCGGAUCUGGUGCCUCUGGAGAUCAAAUAAGUUUUGAGAUGAAAAAACAAAGAAAUAGGACAUAACACAAACUACACUUAGAAAAUAAGAAGUCACCAAAAAGAACAAAUAAAGGUUCAACCUUGAGAAAAAUACAAAGCACAAAAAAACAAGUAGCUACUAAAAGGGGAAAAAUACAAAAUCAACAUGACAUAAAAUCAUUAACACCCAAAAACAUCAAUCACGGUCUGCUGGAUCCUGAUCGAACCACCAUCUCCCGAAACAUCAAAGCUAGGAAGCACUUGACAACCUACAAAAGAAAUUAAAGUGAACAAUCCCCAACGGGAUGAGCGACUAGGACAAGGUCCCACUACCAGAGAUAGGGCGACCUAGAACGCCUCCUAUACAUAAUAAUAUUGGGCUCCAACAUACGACAUAGGUCACUUCUGACUCAUAAAAGGUACAUUGCCUAGCUUAACCACCCAAAGAUAUUAUAUCAAAUAUGGAGGGCCAUGUUACAAGUGACAAACACAUGAAUGACUGAUUCCUCAAUCAAUUCACAAAAGGAGGAUGAGGAAGCAUUCAGAUCCAUGAUCACCCUUAUUUUAAAA